AUUAGCAGCAAGUCGAGCGAGAAGUUGUAGAUUGAAGCUUCGGUUGAUUUCUAUGAUGGACAGCGGCGCAUGGGAGAGUAACGAGUAGUUAUCUACCCCCGAGUUCGGGAUAGCCACGGGAAACUGUGGGUAAUACCGAAUAACAUCUCCGGAUCAAAGGUGUGAUUCCGCUUGGGGAGGAGACUGCUUACUACUAGCUUGUUGGUGGGGUAAUGGCCUACCAAGGCUUUGAUGGUUAGCGGGCGUGAGAGCGUGGCCCGUCUCACUGGGACUGAAACACUGCCCAGACAUCUACGGAUGGCUGCAGUCGAGAAUCUUCGGCAAUGGGCGAAAGCCUGACCGAGCGAUGCCGCGUGCGGGAUGAAGGCCUUCGGGUUGUAAACCGCUGUCAGUUGGGAGGAAGGGUCCGUGAAGAGCGGAUCUUGACCUAUCUUCAGAGGAAGUCCGGGCUAAGUUCGUGCCAGCAGCCGCGGUAACACGAACCGGACAAACGUUAUUCGGAAUUAUUGGGCUUAAAGGGUGUGUAGGCGGCAAUGUAAGUGGGGUGUGAAAUCCCUCGGCUCAACCGAGGAACUGCGCUCCAAAUCACAUAGCUAGAGGGAGACAGAGGUAAGCGGAACUGAUGGUGGAGCGGUGAAAUGCGUUGAUAUCA
rnacentral:rRNA from 1 species